rnacentral:rRNA from 1 species
AGGUCAAGUUACAAAGGGCGUAUGGAGGAUGCCACAGGCACUUAGAGCCGAAGAAGGACGCAGCCAGCGGCGAAACGCUCCGGGGAGUCGCAAGCAGACCGAGAUCCGGAGAUAUCCGAAUGGGGAAACCUGCUUAAGGCAAUACUUAAGCAUCUGCUGAUGAAUAAAUAAUCAGCAGAAGGGAAACCGCGUGAACUGAAACAUCUAAGUAACGCGAGGAAAAGAAAGAAAACAAUCGAUUCCCUGAGUAGUGGCGAGCGAAAAGGGAGAAGCCCAAACCGGUAUCACAGAUACCGGGGUUUAGGACCGCAAAAAGGAGUAUCCAACGAAGCCGAAGGGACCUGGGAAGGCCCGCCAAAGAAGGUGAAAGCCCUGUAGGCGAAAGGAAGAUACCCGAGUGGGAUCCAGAGUACCACAGGAUAGGCAACCCGGUGGGAAGACGGGAGGACCAUCUCCCAAGGCUAAAUACUACUAAGUGACCGAUAGCGCAUAGUACCGUGAGGGAAAGGUGAAAAGAACCCCGGGAGGGGAGUGAAACAGAACCUGAAACCAUAUGUCCACAAGCAGUGGAAGUCAAGCGAAAGCAGACGACCGCGUACUUUUUGUAGAACGGACCGGCGAGUUAUAGGUAUGCAGCGAGGUUAAGCGAGAGCGGAGCCGAAGCGAAAGCGAGUCUAAAGAGGGCGAAAGUUGCAUGCCAUAGACCCGAAACCGUGCGACCUACCCAUGAUCAGGGUGAAGCCGGAGUAAGAUCUGGUGGAGGCCCGAACCACGUUGACGUUGAAAAGUCAUGGGAUGAAUUGUGGGUAGCGGAGAAAUUCCAAUCGAGCACGGAGAUAGCUGGUUCUCCCCGAAAUAGCUUUAGGGCUAGCCUCAGGGUAGAAGAUAUGGAGGUAGAGCACUGAAUGGGAAAGGGGCCAGAAAGGCUACCGAACCCUAUCAAACUCCGAAUGCCAUAUCAAGACCUGGGAGUCAGACUGCGAAUGAUAAGAUCCGUAGUCAAAAGGGAAACAGCCCAGACCGACAGCUAAGGUCCCAAAGAGCAAGUUAAGUGGGAAAGGAAGUAGGAUAUCCAAGACAACCAGGAUGUUGGCUUAGAAGCAGCCAUACAUUCAAAGAGUGCGUAAUAGCUCACUGGUCGAGAAGUCCUGCGCCGAAAAUAAACGGGGCUAAAACAUGCCACCGAAGCUUCGGCUAAGCAGAGGUCAGAUGUGAGAGGUUAGAAGAAGCAAAUAUACACACUGAUAAAGAAGUGGAAAUAAUUCUGAUAUCUGACUUCCGACAUCUGACUUCUGCGAAGGGUAGGGGAGCGUACUGUACAGGAAGAAGGCCAAGCGGAAGCGAAGCUGGACAGUACAGUAGAGAGAAUGCCGGUAUAAGUAACGAGAGUAAGGAGAGAAACCUUACCGUCGAAAGCCUAAGGAUUCCUGGGGAAGGGUAAUCCGCCCAGGGUAAGUCGGGACCUAAGCCGAGGCGUAAGCGUAGGCGAUGGACAACCGGUAGACAAUCCGGUACCACCAAAGACCGCAAAAGAGAAGCGGGGACGCAGCGAGAUAAGAGGAGCGUGCGGUUGGUAGAGCACGUCCAAGCAGCGACGAAAAGAGUAUGGAGGGAAGGCCCCAAACUCAUAAGAGCUGUGAUGGGGAGCCGGAAGGCGAAGCCUCAAAGGGGCUGCCAAGAAAAGCCGCUAUCGAGGUCAGAGGUGCCCGUACCGCAAACCGACACAGGUAGGCGAGGAGAGAAUCCAAAGACGAGCGGGAGAACCCUCAUUAAGGAACUCGGCAAAAUGACUCCGUAACUUAGGGAGAAGGAGUGCCGAAAGGCCGCAGAGAAGAGGCCCAAGCGACUGUUUACCAAAAACACAGGUUUCUGCUAAGUCGAAAGACGAAGUAUAGGAGCUGACGCCUGCCCGGUGCUGGAAGGUUAAGGGGAAGUGUUAUCUGAGAAGAGAAGCACAGAACUUAAGCCCCAGUAAACGGCGGCCGUAACUAUAACGGUCCUAAGGUAGCGAAAUUCCUUGUCGGGUAAGUUCCGACCCGCACGAAAGGCGUAACGACUUGGGCGCUGUCUUGAUGGGGGACCCGGUGAAAUUGUAGUACUCGUGAAGAUGCGAGUUACCCGCGACAGGACAGAAAGACCCCAUGGAGCUUUACUGCAGCUUGUCACUGGAUUUUAGUAAUUUCCGUACAGGAUAGGUGGGAGGCGGAGAAAGUAGGGCGCAAGCCUUACCGGAGCCGACGUUGGGAUACCACCCCGAGAUUACCGAAAUUCUAACAUAUAAGCCGUAAGCCGGCAUAUGGACACUGACAGGCGGGCAGUUUGACUGGGGCGGUCGCCUCCAAAAGAGUAACGGAGGCGCCCAAAGGUUACCUCAGCGCGGUUGGAAAUCGCGCGAGAGAGUGCAAAGGCAGAAGGUAGCCUAACUGUGAGUCCAACAAGACGAGCAGGGACGAAAGUCGGGCUUAGUGAUCCGGCGGUAGAGAAUGGGAUUGCCGUCGCUCAACGGAUAAAAGCUACCCUGGGGAUAACAGGCUGAUCUCCCCCAAGAGUCCACAUCGACGGGGAGGUUUGGCACCUCGAUGUCGGCUCAUCGCAUCCUGGGGCUGAAGUAGGUCCCAAGGGUUGGGCUGUUCGCCCAUUAAAGCGGUACGCGAGCUGGGUUCAGAACGUCGUGAGACAGUUCGGUCCCUAUCCGUCGCGGGCGCAGGAAAUUUGAGAGGAACAGUCCUUAGUACGAGAGGACCGGGAUUGACGAACCGAUGGUGUACCAGUUGCAUCGCCAGAUGCACAGCUGGGUAGCCAAGUUUGGAAGGGAUAAACGCUGAAAGCAUCUAAGCGUGAAACCCACCUCAAGAUAAGAUUUCCCACCUGAAAAGGAUAAGACACCUUGAAGAAGACGAGGUAGAUAGGCCGGAGGUGUAAGAGUAGAAAUACUUUCAGCUGACCGGUACUAAUAAGUCGAGGACUUGACCACAA